rnacentral:lncRNA from 1 species
GGGUGGGGGAUGGGGUGGAGGGUUCUGUGGCCAUCUGGGGGCUCCUGGAGUGACCAUAUACAAUUGAGAGGCUUCUGUUACCUGUUAUCAGAUGCAUAGGACUAAACUACAAUGAUAACAGAUGCUUGGAGGUCCCAGAGAAAAUUGACAAUGGAAACCUCACUGUAGGUGGGGCAGGCUAGGGCCAUCCUUCUGUAUAGAAUUAUCAGGGACCCUUGGGUUGUGUUUCUGGACCACCUGUCCUUCUACCUUCUAGUGAACACAGGGAAUGUGUAGAGAUAAGAGACAGAGGCUGCACCUGCCGAUCCGUGUUCUCUAAGUCUGUUCCAUUCUGCAGAAUGGUCAGCAUGGCUCCAUUCAAAUAACAUACUUAUUACUUAUGUGUAUUGAGUGUUUGAUAUAAAGGAAGUGCUUUGCAAAUUAGCUCAUUGGAUCUGUCAACAUUUGUAACAGCUUGUUAAACCAUUUCACAAAGGAGAAAGGUAAGGUUCCUAUAGGGGAAGUGUUUACACAUAAUCACAGCUGUAUGUCACAGGCAAUUGAUAUUGCCUGAUAUGUGAUGAGUCUGUGAUUUACUUUAAAUUGGUGAGGAGAGUCUAGUUAUGUAUUCUUAUGUUGACCACCAAUAAACUAUAUUAAACGCGCCAGUCUGUAAAUGAGAUUUACCAUAUUUUUGGGAAAUGUCCAGUUUAUUUCACAUUGCACAUCAUGUGAUAUUCCCUUAUAAUGAGGGUAGUAUGUAUUAAGGCUGUGUACAGACUGUAUAUACGUUUGUAGUUAUGCAUGAAUAACACAUGCCAGAUCAGCACAGGGAAGCAUUUGGCUAGAACCCCAAAGAGGACUUGAGCUUUCUAUACCUACAGCCUCAUUUCCCCAACUCUAUCAUGUCAACUUUCUGCCCCUGGACUCUGGUAGAGAUGUCCCUGUCUGAACCAGAAUGUCCGCAAUGUUUUAGGAAUCAGCGACCUUCAUGGAUGUGGUUGUGGACUUCACCCAGGAAGAAUAGGCCUUGGUGGGCGCAUCCCAGUGAAAGCUAUACAGAGAUGUGAUGCUGGAGAACAUCAUUCAUCUUCUCUCUGUUGUUGAGUCUGUCAAUAAGGACUUAUUUACUCAACGAGUAUCCAGAGAAGUUUCCACAUAUCAUGCUCCCCUCUCAGCUCUCAUUUUUAUUCUUUCAUAACACAACUACGAGAAGGCAGGAUAAGUAACCUUUAAAACCAAGAAAUGGUACCUAUACCAGAUAUCUGCAGGAAGGAUCCAUCUAACUGUACAGUGAUGCUUCAACCCGGUUAUUGAGCACCCUCCACGCAGCCACUCGUAGCUGUGCAGGACUGGU